GGCGUACCGGGGCCGCCGUCGGGGCGGCGGCGCCGAUGGCGGGAGCAGUGGCAGGCGCGCGGCGGCGGCGGCGGCGGCAUCUACACAGCCGACUUCUCCUGGAGAGAGGUACAAUGUGCAAAGCACCAGUAGUUAACUCUUCCUACGGAAUGUCAUCAAAUUUACAUGUGAGACUACCCCAAAAAGAAGAAGAAAAUAUCAAGCACGUAGUGAGCGUGUGUGAAGGACAGACUCUGGCUAGUUUGUUUCUUGAUAACUUAAAAAUCUUAAAAGGAGAAUUCUUUAAUCGGGAUCUGAAUCAACUCCGCAUGAUGCUUAAUUGGGAUUCAUGAGCUCUGUCUUAAGAGGUAAAAUGCCAUGCCUGUGCAUAUUGCUGAUCAACGUUGGAUAUUCAUGAUACUACCUUUGAGAAGAAAUCAAUUCAGAGUGCCGGAGAUUAUGACCGACAUCCUUGUAUGCUGUCUCUGUAGCUUAUUUCUCCCUCUCAUCUCACAGCUGCAAAAUAAUCAAGCCCUUUAGAAAAAUAAAGAUGAACUCUCAUAUCACAGACUCAAGGUCUCUUGGACUUGUGUGUAGACGGGGCGACCACAUUUUAAACUUGGAAUAAGCAGAAUUAUCAGAGCAGCGUUUAACUAUUCGUAUCAAUCAAAGCAGGCUGCAGAGCUUGAUACCCCCCCCCCCCCCCCGGGUUUCAGUGGCUGGUGUUUUGUUGGUGUCUCAGUAGGUGGUGUUUUGCUGUCAAUUAGGCUCUUAUCUCCCUAGCUGGAGCAUAGGGGUGCUUAGUUGUAUAAUCUUUGUAGCUUCUUUCCACCGUUGUAGGAAAGAUGAUUGAGUGAUCCGUUCCUUCUUUUUCCCUUUAUUUUGCUUCAGAAGAUGGCCAGGAGCACAAUAUGCUCAAUCUUUCUUUCUGUGGCUCUCUCUCCUGCUUGCUCCAGAUGUUCAUCCCAGGAGGCAAUCAUUGGUGGUGCGACAAAAGCAAAGGCAGGUAGCUCGGCCAAUCAAGCCAGUGUCGUUUUCCUCACCUUUCGUUCUCCCUCUAAAUACACUGAAUCACUGAUGCAAAUAUGCAAAUAUCUUUACAGGUUGACUGGUCCAACAAAAGCUUUACUUAGCCUGAUAAUUUACUGAAGGAAGAUAAGGUGUUAGCUAACCAGCUUUUGAUGCAAAUUACUAGUUCCGCGACAAAAGCUGGUCAAAAUAUACCCGUUGAUUUGUCUGUUGCUGGAUGUGAAAUUGCUUUCGCCUAAACCGUCAUAAACAGUUAUGCGCCUUGGUUGUUCCACCUUCCCACAUGAGUCCACAUCCAUUCAGCAGAAAAUGGUUCGAGUUGCCAACAGCAACAACCCUUAUCCC